rnacentral:tRNA from 1 species
GGGCCCAUAGCUCAGUUGGCAGAGCCCCCGGCUCAUAACCGGAUUGUCCGAGGUUCAAAUCCUCGUGGGCCCACCA